rnacentral:misc_RNA from 1 species
CUGAGGUUGUCACUUCUCCGGAGGUGUUACCCGUCCUUAUGUCAUACGCACGGGCCACGUGUGCCUGUGGUAUGCCUCCGCGAGGAGGUAUGCUGCGGGCUGCGCGGAACGAGACUGUAUUUCCGCCGAGGUGGCGUGCUUCUUUCCUCCCUCGAGUGAUCGAGAUGGAGCGUAGUACGUCCGCGGCGGGCCCCAAUAUUUACAAUUCUUGCGAGAACUUGAAGUCUGAAUACCAAUUGAAAAAUUUAAAAAAGCAAAACUUUCAACAACGGAUCUCUUGGCUCUGGCAACGAUGAAGAACGCAGCGAAACGCGAAAGGUAAUGCGAAUUGCAGAAUCAGUGAGUCAUCGAAUCUUUGAACGCACAUUGCGCCUCUAGGUAUUCCUGGAGGCACGCCUGUUCGAGCGCCAUUACACACUCCAAGCCCUGCUUGAUGUUGGACCGUCCGAGUUGAAUCGGAGGUCUGGAACGUGUAGGCGUCGGGCGUCGGACCACGAGCGUAGCAAGACUUUUAAUCGGUCACGAUCGUUCUGUGGAGCCGGCGUUCGACCGUCUUUUCCUCUCUCUCUCACUCUUUUGGGGGGGCGAGAGGAGCUUUUUACCAUAAAAAGUUGCCU